AUUUCAUUCUAGAUGUUUCAAGGUAUUUAAAUCUCUGGAAGAGUGUAUUUGAGAGAUGAUUCUUCAAAUAGUUUCAUAGGAAUCAUAUUUUUAUUUUAUUCCAGAUGUUUCAAGGUAUUUAAUCUCUGGAAAGAGUGUAUUUGAGAGAUGAUUCUUCAAAUAGUUUCAUAAGGAUCAUAUUUUUAUUUUAUUCCAGAUGUUUCAAGGUAUUUAAAUCUCUGGAAGAGUGUAUUCGAGAGAUGAUUCUUCAAAUAGUUCAUAGGAUCAUAUUUUUAUUUUAUUCUAGAUGUUUCAAGGUUUUAAAUCUCUGGAAAGAGUGUAUUUGAGAGAUGAUUCUUCAAAUAGUUUCAUGCGAAUCAUAUUUUUAUUUUAUUCUAGAUGUUUCAAGGUAUUUAAAUCUCUGAAAAUAGUGUAUUUUAGAGAUGAUUCUUCAAAUAGUCUCAUAGGAAUCAUAUUUUUAUUUUAUUCUAGAUGUUUCAAGGUAUUUAAAUCUUUGGAAAGAGUGUAUUUUAGAGAAGAUUCUUCAAAUAGUUUCAUAGGAAUCAUAUUUUUAUUUCAUUCUAGAUGUUUCAAGGUACUUAAAUCUCUGGAAAGAGUGUAUUUGAGAGAUGAUUCUUCAAAUAGUUUCAUGUGAAUCAUAUUUUUAUUUUAUCCAAGAUGUUUCAAGGUAUUCAAAUCUCUGGGAAUAGUAAAUUCGAGAGAUUAUUCUCCAAAUAGUCUCAUAGGAAUCAUAUUUUUAUUUUAUUCCAGAUGUUUCAAGGUAUUUAAAUCUCUGGAAAGAGUGUAUUUUAGAGAUGAUUCUUCAAAUAGUUUCAUGAGAAUCAUAUUUUUAUUUUAUUCUAGAUGUUUCAAGGUAUUCAAAUCUCUGGGAAUAGUAAAUUCGGGAGAUUAUUCUUCAAAAAUUAACUAGAAUAUUCUUCAAAUCUUAGUAAGGUUUAAAUGAACUGUUCUACCUAAAAUAUGAAUAACCUCGGGAUAGAUAGAAUUGAAAAAUGAAUAAAAGGUCUGUUCAAAAUGUUAUCAAUAGAGGAAAACAUAAUGGAAUGCACUGAAUUCAGAAAAUUAAAAACGUCUAUGUAGGAGUAACGUAAUACUCAGGUAAUAUUACCUUUAUCAAUUCCAAGACCAUUCGAGAAUUUUUAUCUUUAAUUGAAAAUUAUUGUCUAAAGAUAUAAUAGAAAUAUCUAAAAUGUUACUGAACACGCUUGUAUUAUUUGUGCCUGGAAUAGAAUGAGAAAGGGAUGAAGAAAUAGAGAUAGAGAAUAUUCUUGAAGAAGGAAGAAUGAAAGGAAAGAUAGGAGUUUAGCAAGAAAUUGGAUGGUUUGUAAAUAAAUCUUGAAAAUUAAAAUAUGUAUUAAGAAUAAAAAUUCUAAUCCCAUUCCAUUUUGGUGUUGAGGAUUAAUGAGUCAUGUAUGACAAUACAAUCAUACAUUUACUUAGUUUUCUUCUUCUUCUUCUUCUUCUUCUUCUUCUUCUUCUUCUUUUUCUUCUUCUUCUUCUUCUUCUUCUUCCUCUUCUUCUUCUACUUUUUCUUCAUUUUCUCCUUCUGCUCUGCCUUAUCCUUCCCCUCCUCCUCCUUCAACAUGUUCUCUUUCUUUUCCUUCCACUCGUUCUUUCGCAAUUUUCUAAUUCUCCUCCUUAUUCAUCUAAUUCCUCUUCUUUCUCUUCUUCUUCUUACACUCCUUCUCAUUUGUAACCUCAACUUUAUCUUUUCCUCUCUUUACUCUCCUCCUCCUCCUCCUCCUCCUCCUCCUCCUCCUCCUCUCCUCCUCCUCCUCCUCCUCCUCCUCCUCCUCCUCCUCCUGCUUAUCCUUCUUUCAAGCAUAAUUUACAUUAUAAAUAAAUAUUCCAUCUCCAACACACUAUCCUACACAAUCAAUCACUUAAGGGAAGUGCACCCGUUUAAAAUAAUAUAAAAUUAAGUUAUAAACUGUAUACAAUUAAAUAUCAGUUAAACAAUAAUUACCUAAUAAUACGAGUACCUCAGUAAUAUGAUUUAUGAUAGAUAUCAUAAUUCAAGAAAUAUGAUUUUAUUUUUCCAAGAAAAGGUGGGUAAGUUACCAAGUGAAAGAUGAAAAAUAUUGUAAAAAUAUGAAAAACAAAAAUUAUGUGUUUGAAACACGAAAAAUGUGUUUCGAAAAAGGUGGUUAGAUAGGGAUCUGAAUGGAAACACAAACAUUAUUUAUUUAAAACAUGAAAAUAUUAUUGUGUUUUAAGAAGAGGUUAGGAUAGAGACACCUUCUAGAUAGGGAUAUUAAUGGAGACACAAAAAUCAUGUAUUUUGAACACAAAUUCGUGUUUCUUAAUAUUGGUUGGAGUUGAUUAGAAUUCUUCUGCAUAAAGAUAUAAAUGUUGAAAAAGAUUAAUCAUUUACUUCAGCAUGAUGUAGACUGUAUAUUAGUACAUGAAUAGUUGUAAAAUGUAUAAUUUCAAACUAUUCCUCACUUCAAUUUAAUAGAAGAAUCAAGUUCAAUCAGAUCGAUCAAAUCGAAUAUAAUAUCUAUAAUUUUGUGAAAAAAGUACCGUAAAUUAAUUAUUUAUUUAUCAUUAUUGUGCAGAAUACUACAAUUAUGACAUUGGAGGAAAAACUAGGCUGAGCCUGUACUAUUUCUCUCCAAAAAUUUUGAUAAAAUGCUAAUGUUGUCCAAUUUACACUGUAUUUGUCUUAAACAAAACCAAAAAUUUCAAAUGUAACAUACAAAUUAAUUAAUUCUGUAAGUAGGUCUAUACUUGGUCAUAUAACUUAUUCUGAUAACAUAACUAAAUGCAUGUAAUACUUGAAUACAGUAUAUUAAUUGUAUAUAAACCAAAAAUUCCAACUACACUUGAAAUAAAAUAUAAAAUAUUUGUGUGAAUAUAAAACAUUACUUACAAAACGUUUCACAUAAAAAAGAAAUAGUGAAUAAUUUAAUCAUAUUUCUACAAAAAUGUGAGUGGAGUCUGUAAAAUUUGAUACAUUUUCCACAAUAAAAAAAAAUUGUAAAAAGUUGGUUUUAUGCUUGAUUCUACAAGAAUUUAAAGAAUAAUUCAACUUUCAACUUCCUAGAUUUCAAUUUUGAAUAUUGACUGGAUCUUCACUGAAACUCCACAGUACCCACUGGUACCAUAGUACCAAUUGAAAUACUGUACAUAAUAUUUACUAACUUAUAAGUUAAAACAACGAAAAUUAACGAAUUUACUCUCAACUAAGAGUUGAACAACAUUUUGUGAAUACCUACAAAAAAACUCGUUUAAAAAAACUUUCGUUGAUCCAACGAAAAUUAACGAAUUCACUUUCAACUAAGAGUUGAACAACAUUUUGAAAAUACAAAAAAACUCGAUAAAAAAACUUUCGUUAAAACAAGGAAAAUUAACGAAUUUACUCUCAACUAAGAGUUGAACAACAUUUUGCGAAUACAAAAAAACUCAGAGCGAUAAGUUGAUUCAUGUCUCAUGAGUUUUUCUCAUUCAAAAACUUUCAAACCAAAAAUAAUUGUAAUCAAUUUAUAAUAAAUUUGUUAUCACAGAUUAAAAUGGUUUUGGGCGUAAGCCAGUUGGUUUACCUAAUAUUUAUAACGUAUUAUCAAAAAACAAAUGAAUCAAUUAAUACCUUGCAUUUAUAGUUUUUGGCAUUUAAAAACUGAAAAUAAAAUAUAAAAUUAACCCUGUGUAACUGCUUAUAAAAACAAUCCUGAAAUAGAUCUAUUUUUCCCUCAAACAGUUUAUCCUAAAACACCUCCACAAUCCUAAAAUGAGUGUAUCUUGCUCUAAAUAGUAAUAGAAGCUCCUAGAAAUGGAAUAAUAUUUAAUAAAUUAUUUUUUCUAUCACAAAAAUAACUUUAAUUACCCUAUCUGAAAAGACCAUGAUUACUUCGUCCAAUUAUUGACUAUCUCGACCAUAAAAAUAUCUUAAAAUAAUAUUACUAAUCAAUAUAUGUGAAUGUUAAAUAUACAGUAAAUGAGAAAAAUAAUGAUUUAAGUUUAUUAAGAAAGUGGUAGGUAAUAAUGAAUUAUUUGAAGGCAUUGAUAUUUUUCAAUGAAUUUUGUUCUAAUAACUAGAAAAAAUAUUAAUUUUGAAAAUGUAUAACUUGAAAUCGUUGGUUUUGAUAGUAAAAUCUAUCUUACUUUCAAAACAAAAAAGGAAAUUUCUGCAUUGAUUAGCUAAAAAUAAAAUAUUAUUAGAAUAAAGUUGCAUAUUUUUUAGAUUGAAUCUGUUAUGCUUGCUAGAGAUUUACUAUGUUGUCUAUCCUUAUUGUUGGUUGAAGGAAAUAAAUGAAUUAUUUUGUAAAAUCAUUACAAAUAUUGAUGAGUCUGUUAUGUUUGAAGAAGAUGGAAUAUUUUAUUUCAAUGUUAUUGGAAAGUCUGGAAAAUGAUAAGAUUCUGUGUAUAUGAUGUAGUUUAUCUAUAGUUUUAAAAUGUAUCAGUUUUCUCCAGUGGAUGGGAACCCACCUAAAGUAGUUUGCUAUCAUGAAUAUUUUUCUUGCAGCUUUUAAAAAAGUGGGAUAAAAAGAUACUGUCUAUAGUUAUAGGGUGUAUAAUUUUCUCUUUACCAGUAUUUUGGAACCAGCCUAUUAUAAGCAUGGAAGAAGUUGAGAUGAAUCUCGCCCUAGUAUGGUACGGUACCUUACACUAGACCACCGUCGUGGUUUGGAUUCCACCUAAACUUUGGUUUAUUAACCAUAGCUUAAAUCUAAAAUUCUAAGGUUGAAUUCACUGAAUUCUAAUCCUUGUUAAGUGUAAUAAAAUAGGAAUAUGGUUAGAAAUCUUGAACCUUAUACCUUAUAUUGAGAAUACAUUAUUAUAUCUAUUCCAUUGACCUACACAGUUCUGUACUAUUUUUUCAUAUUUAAUUUCUAGAGCAAAACGUAAACUAUAUUAUGUGUAUAACUAUAUAUGAGGCUGAAUCCCAGGUAUGCAUGUGUGUGUGAAACAAAACUAUAAGUUAUCUAUAGUUACUAGUAACUUAUCAUUGUAUUAGUUGAUUGUCUAGAUACAGAAUCUUAAUUGGUCUAUUAUUGUCAACAUAUUAUGGAUGGUCGUAGAUUAAAUAUAAAUGAAUGUUUGCAUCUUAAUCCA
rnacentral:lncRNA from 1 species